UGGCUUAGAAGCAGCCAUACAUUAAAAGAGUGCGUAAUAGCUCACUGGUCGAGAGGUCCUGCGCCGAAAAUGUCCGGGGCUGAAACACACUACCGAAGCUCAGGAAUUAACGUAGUUAAUUGGUAGAGGAGCAUUCUUAAAGGGAAGAAGCAGUACCGGAAGGAGCUGUGGACUUUUAAGAAGAGAGAAUGCCGGAAUGAGUAGCGAGAGGAAGGUGAGAAUCCUUCCGGCCGAAUACCCAAGGUUUCCAGAGUAAAGCUGAUCUGCUCUGGGUAAGUCGGGGCCUAAGGUGAGGUCGAAAGACGUAGCCGAUGGACAACAGGUUGAAAUUCCUGUACUGCAGUAUAACAGAACUGUGGGGACGCAGAGGGAGAGCACUAGCGGGAAUGGAAUCCCGCGGCAAGCGAGGUAGGAGUCGCGUUGGCAAAUCCGCGUGACAAUCCGAAGACGUGAUGCAUACCGAACAAAAGUAGGGAAAUGUGUGAGCCAGCUGCCAAGAAAAGCCGCUAUUGUUUGUACUGUACCCGUACCGUAAACCGACACAGGUAGGUGAGGAGGGAAUCCUAAGGCCGACGGGAGAAGCAUUGUUAAGGAACUCGGCAAAAUGACUCCGUAACUUCGGGAGAAGGAGUGCCAGUGAGAGCUGGCCGCAGAGAAUUGGCCCAAGCAACUGUUUAGCAAAAACACAGGUCUAUGCAAAACCGUAAGGUGAAGUAUAUGGGCUGACGCCUGCCCGGUGCUGGAAGGUUAAGGGGAGAGGUUAGCGCAAGCGAAGCUUUGAACUUAAGCCCCAGUAAACGGCGGCCGUAACAAUAACGGUCCUAAGGUAGCGAAAUUCCUUGUCGGGUAAGUUCCGACCCGCACGAAAGGCGUAAUGAUUUGGGCACUGUCUCAACAAUGCACCCGGUGAAAUUGAAAUACCAGUGAAGAUGCUGGUUACCUGCGCCAGGACGGAAAGACUCCAUGGAGCUUUACUCCAGCUUGAUACUGGGAUUCGAUAUUGUAUGUACAGGAUAGGUGGGAGGCGAGGAAGCAUUGACGCCAGUUGAUGCGGAGCCGCUGUUGGGAUACCACCCUUGCAGUAUUGGAUUUCUAACCAGCAGCCGUGACCCGGCUGGGGGACAAUGUCAGGCGGGGAGUUUGACUGGGGCGGUCGCCUCCGAAAGGGUAUCGGAGGCGCUCAAAGGUUCCCUCAGAAUGGUUGGAAACCAUUCGAAGAGUGCAAAGGCAGAAGGGAGCUUGACUGCGACACCGACGGGUGGAGCAGGUACGAAAGUAGGACUUAGUGAUCCGGUGGUAUAAAGUGGGAUUGCCAUCGCUCAACGGAUAAAAGCUACCCUGGGAUAACAGGCUUAUCACUCCCAAGAGUUCACAUCGACGGAGUGGUUUGGCACCUCGACGUCGGCUCAUCGCAUCCUGGGGCUGAAGUAGGUCCCAAGGGUUGGGCUGUUCGCCCAUUAAAGCGGUACGCGAGCUGGGUUCAGAACGUCGUGAGACAGUUCGGUCCCUAUCCGGCGUGGGCGUAGGAUAUUUGAGAGGAGCUGGCCUUAGUACGAGAGGACCGGGCUGGACUGACCGCUGGUGUAUCUGUUGUUCCGCCAGGAGCAUGGCAGAGUAGCCAAGUCAGGAAGGGAUAAACGCUGAAGGCAUCUAAGCGUGAAGCCCCCCUCAAGAUGAGAUAUCCCAACGCAAGUUGUAAGACCCCUUGAAGACGACAAGGUAGAUAGGGCAGAGGUGGAAGUGCAGUAAUGCGUGGAGCUGACUGUUACUAAUCGGUCGAGGGCAUAACC
rnacentral:rRNA from 1 species